rnacentral:rRNA from 1 species
AGAGCGGACGAUGGAUGCCUUGGCGCCGGAUGGUGAUGAAAGACGCGGUUAGCUGCGAUAAGCUUCGGGGAGCCGCUAAACAGGCAUUGAGCCGAAGAUCUCUGAAUGGGGGAACCCAUCCCGGGUAAUUCCGGAAUAUCUAUUGCUGAAUCCAUAGGCAAUCGAGGCGAACGAGGGGAACUGAAACAUCUCAGUACCCUUAGGAAAAGAAAACAACCGUGAUUCCCAGAGUAGCGGCGAGCGAAAUGGGAAGAGCCCAAACCGAAUGCAUGUAAGCCUGCAAGCGUUGUGCAUCCGGGGUUGUGGGGCCUUAUCGGAGGGAAUUGCAGAUCCCUCGGCAAGUCAGAAAUCCAAUGGAUAGUCGAAUGGCCUGGAAAGGCUAACCAAAGAAGGUGAUAGUCCUGUAGGCGAAAUCUGUUGGACUUGCUGGGUGAGGUACCCAAGUAACGCGGGACACGUGAAACCCUGCGUGAAUCUGGGAGGACCAUCUUCCAAGGCUAAAUACAAGCCGGCGACCGAUAGUGAACUAGUACCGUGAGGGAAAGGUGAAAAGAACCCCGGUGAGGGGAGUGAAAUAGUACCUGAAAUCGUCCGUUUACAAGCAGUGGAAGAACUAUUGGAGCUGUAGAGGGUUCGCCCUCUUGGUUUCAAGUUCGACUGCGUACCUUUUGCAUAAUGGGUCAGCGAGUUACUCUGUGUUGCAAGGUUAAGCCGUUAGGUGUAGCCGAAGCGAAAGCGAGUCUGAAAGGGGCGUUGAGUAGCGCGGAGUAGACCCGAAGCCAGGUGAUCUAUCCAUGGACAGGGUGAAGGUCGAGUAACAUCGACUGGAGGCCCGAACCGCAGAAGGUUGAAAACUUCCCGGAUGAGCUGUGGAUAGGAGUGAAAGGCUAAUCAAACCUGGAAAUAGCUGGUUCUCCCCGAAAUAUAUUUAGGUAUAGCCUCACAAAUUAAGUAACGGGGGUAGAGCACUGGAUGGGCUAGGGGUCCUACCAGAUUACCAAACCCAACCAAACUUCGAAUACCGUUAACUUCUAUUGUGGGAGUCAGACAGCGGGAGAUAAGUUUCGUUGUCAAAAGGGAAAGAGCCCAGACCGCCAGCUAAGGUCCCUAAAUAUGUGCUAAGUGGUAAAGGAUGUGGAAACGCAGAGACAGCCAGGAUGUUGGCUUAGAAGCAGCCAUCAUUUAAAGAAAGCGUAACAGCUCACUGGUCAAGUGAUUCUGCGCCGAAAAUUCAACGGGGCUUAAGCAUAUUACCGAAGCUGCGGAUUUCUCCGCUUCGGCGGAGGAGUGGUAGGGGAGCAUUCCAUUCAGGAGUGAAGCCAGACCGUGAGGACUGGUGGACCGGAUGGAAGAGAUUAUGCUGACAUGAGUAGCGAUAAAGCGGGUGAGAAACCCGCUCGCCGUAAGCCUAAGGGUUCCUGAGUAAAGCUAAUCUUCUCAGGGUUAGUCGGUCCCUAAGCUGAGGCCGAAAGGCGUAGGCGAUGGAAAACAGGUUAAUAUUCCUGUACCACCAAACUGGCGUUUGAGCGAUGGGGGGACGCAGAAGGGUAGGCCAUUCCGGCGAUGGUUGUCCGGAUUCAAGCUCGUAGGUGGAGAGGGCAGGUAAAUCCACCCUCUCGUUAACACCGAGAAGUGAUGAGGAGGGAGUAAUCCCACAAACUGGCUGAUCCCAUGCUGCCAAGAAAAGCCUCUAGCAAGUCAGAUUGGUGACCGUACCGCAAACCGACUCAGGUAGGCGGGGUGAGUAUCCUAAGGCGCUCGGGAGAACUCUGGUUAAGGAACUCGGCAUAUUAACACCGUAACUUCGGAAGAAGGUGUGCCUCCGUUAGGUGAAGAAAUUUACUUUUGGAGCCGAAGGAGGUUGCAGAGAAAUGGGGGUAGCGACUGUUUACUAAAAACACAGGACUCUGCUAAGUCGCAAGACGACGUAUAGGGUCUGAUGCCUGCCCGGUGCUGGAAGGUUAAGGGGACUUGUUAUUUCCGCCUCGGCGGAGNGAAGCNUNGAACCGAAGCCCCAGUAAACGGCGGCCGUAACUAUAACGGUCCUAAGGUAGCGAAAUUCCUUGUCGGGUAAGUUCCGACCUGCACGAAUGGNAUAACGACUUCCCCACUGUCUCGACCAGGGACCCGGUGAAAUUGAAUUGAGGGUGCAGAUGCCCUCUACCCGCAGAAAGACGGAAAGACCCCGUGAACCUUUACUAUAACUUGACAUUGGACUUUGGGCUCGUAUGUGUAGGAUAGGUGGGAGACAGUGAAAUCUCGACGCUAGUCGGGGUGGAGUCGACCUUGAAAUACCACCCUUAUCGGUCUAGGGUUCUAACCUUGACCCGUGAUCCGGGCCGGGGACAUUGUCUGGUGGGUAGUUUGACUGGGGCGGUCGCCUCCCAAAGUGUAACGGAGGCGCGCGAAGGUUCCCUCAGGCUGAUUGGAAACCAGCCGUAGAGUGUAAAGGCAUAAGGGAGCUUGACUGUGAGACAGACAUGUCGAACAGGUACGAAAGUAGGUCUUAGUGAUCCGGCGGUCCCGUAUGGAAGGGCCGUCGCUCAACGGAUAAAAGGUACUCCGGGGAUAACAGGCUUAUCACGUCCAAGAGUUCAUAUCGACGACGUGGUUUGGCACCUGGGCUGAAGCAGGUCCCAAGGGUUUGGCUGUUCGCCAAUUAAAGCGGUACGUGAGCUGGGUUUAGAACGUCGUGAGACAGUUCGGUCCCUAUCUUCUGUGGGCGCAGGAUAUUUGAGAGGAUCUUUCCCUAGUACGAGAGGACCGGGAUGGACGGACCUCUGGUGUUCCAGUUGUCGCGCCAGCGGCAUCGCUGGGUAGCUAUGUCCGGAUCGGAUAACCGCUGAAAGCAUCUAAGCGGGAAGCCAACCUCAAGAUAAGAUAUCCCUUCCCGUGGAGACACGGGAACUGAAGACCCCUCGUAGACUACGAGGUUGAUAGGCCGGAUGUGUAAGCGCGGUAACGCGUUGAGCUAACCGGUCCUAAUAGGUCGUGAGGCUUGGCC